rnacentral:rRNA from 1 species
UACGUAGGGGGCAAGCGUUGUCCGGAAUCAUUGGGCGUAAAGCGCGUGUAGGCGGCUAGGUAAGUCUGCUCUGAAAGCCCGGGGCUCAACCCCGGGAGGCGGGUGGAUACUGUCUAGCUCGAGUCCGGAAGAGGAGUGUGGAAUUCCUGGUGUAGCGGUGAAAUGCGCAGAUAUCAGGAGGAACACCGGUGGCGAAGGCGGGUCUCUGGGCAGUAACUGACGCUGAGGAGCGAAAGCGUGGGGAGCGAACAGG